rnacentral:rRNA from 1 species
CAAUAGCGUAUAUUAAAGUUGUUGCAGUUAAAAAGCUCGUAGUUGGAUUUCUGUGAGAGUGCCGGUGUCGGCUGAUGCUUGUACGCAGGCGCUCUUACAUCCUUCUGUUAACUGUUCUUGGCAUUUUAUUGCUGGUUCAGGGCUCAGAUAUUUUACCUUGAGAAAAUUAGAGUGUUUCAGGCAGGCUUAUGCCGGAAUACAUUAGCAUGGAAUAAUGGAACAGGACCUGUGCGUCUCUCGGGGCGCCGGUCUCCGUUGUUGGUUUCGGGGACUAAUGUAAUGAUUAAUAGGGAUAGUUGGGGGCAUUAGUAUUUAAUAGUCAGGGGUGAAAUUCUCGGAUUUGUUAAAGACUAACUUAUGCGAAAGCAUUUGCCAAGGAUGUUCUCAUUAA